UACGUAGGUGGCAAGCGUUGUCCGGAUUUACUGGGCGUAAAGGAUGCGUAGGCGGACAUUUAAGUCAGAUGUGAAAUACCCGAGCUUAACUUGGGUGCUGCAUUUGAAACUGGGUGUCUAGAGUGCAGGAGAGGUAAGUGGAAUUCCUAGUGUAGCGGUGAAAUGCGUAGAGAUUAGGAAGAACACCAGUGGCGAAGGCGAGUCCCUGGACAAAACCUGACACUGAGGCACGAAAGCUAGGGGAGCAAACAGG
rnacentral:rRNA from 1 species